rnacentral:rRNA from 1 species
GACUGUUUUACCAAAAACAUAGCUUUUAUAAAUAUUUAAAAGUGAUACCUGCCCAGUGAUAUUAAUAUUAAAAUUAUAAUUUAAUUUUUAAGAUAUUCAACGGAUGCGGUAACUCUGACUGUAAUAAAGUAGCAUAAUAAUUUGUCAUUUAAUUGGUGGAGGGAAUGAAUGGUGUAACAAAUAUUUCAUUGUCUUAAUUAAAAGUUUUUAAAAUUACAAUAAUAGUGAAGAUUCUAUUUUAAACCAUAAGACGAAAAGACCCUAUAGAGCUUAACUAUAAAUUUUUUUUAUAAAUUAUAAUAAUUUUAUUAAGAUAAUAGAAAAUUUGGUAGUUUAGUUGGGGCGACUAUCUUUUAUAAUUAACAAAGAUAAGCAAUAAUAAAUAAAUAUAUUUAUUGUAUAAUAAAUUAAUUUAACAAUUAUAAAAAUAGGCUAUAAUGACCCAUUAAAUUUUAUAAGUAUUUUUAAUGAUUAGUAAAUAAAAGCUACCUUAGGGAUAACAGGAUAAUUUUGUUUUAGAGUUCUUAUCAAAUUCAAAGUUUGUCACCUCUAUGUUGAAUUAAGAUAUCCCAAUAAUGUAGAAGUUAUUAAUGGUAGGUCUGUUCGACCUUUAAAAUCUUACAUGAUUUGAGUUCAUU